UGGGGAAUAUUGCACAAUGGGGGAAACCCUGAUGCAGCAACGCCGCGUGAGUGAAGAAGUAUUUCGGUAUGUAAAGCUCUAUCAGCAGGGAAGAUAAUGACGGUACCUGACUAAGAAGCUCCGGCUAAAUACGUGCCAGCAGCCGCGGUAAUACGUAUGGAGCAAGCGUUAUCCGGAUUUACUGGGUGUAAAGGGUGCGUAGGUGGCAGUGCAAGUCAGAUGUGAAAGGCCGGGGCUCAACCCCGGAGCUGCAUUUGAAACUGCAUAGCUAGAGUACAGGAGAGGCAGGCGGAAUUCCUAGUGUAGCGGUGAAAUGCGUAGAUAUUAGGAGGAACACCAGUGGCGAAGGCGGCCUGCUGGACUGUUACUGACACUGAGGCACGAAAGCGUGGGGAGCAAACA
rnacentral:rRNA from 2 species